rnacentral:rRNA from 1 species
AUGGCGAAAACCCUGCUGCUCCUGCUGCUCUGCGCCACGAUCGCCGCACGGGCGCACGCGCAGGCGCCUGCGCGGCCGGCGGAGGAGGAGACGCCGCCUGGGGCGGGCGUGAAGGUGUCGUUCCGGCCGAGCGUGGCCAUCGUGGUGGGCAUCUUCACCAUGAUCUUCUCCCUCACCUUCCUCCUCCUCAUGUACGCCAAGUUCUGCCACCCCGCCAACACGCCACUCCUCCCCGCCACCACCGCCAGCCCGUCCCGCCCACCUGCAACAACGGCAGAGGCCGCGGCGGCCUUGGAGGAGGCGGGCGCCGGCGUGGGCAAGGCGGUGAUCGAGUCGCUGCCCUUCUUCCGGUUCGCGGCGCUGCGCGGGGCGCGGCAGGGGCUGGAGUGCGCCGUGUGCCUGGCCCGCUUCGACGACGCCGACCUGCUCCGCCUGCUCCCGCGCUGCCGCCACGCCUUCCACCUCGACUGCGUCGACCGCUGGCUGCACUCCAGCGCCAGCUGCCCGCUCUGCCGCGCCCGCGUCCACCCCGACGACGCCGACCUCGGCCUCAAGUACGCCGCCGCCAGCGCGCGAUUCGUCUUCGGCGCAGCAGGCGACGACGCUACUGUCGGUGCGGCAGUGCCGUCGUCAGCAGGGUCCGGCCGCGACCUCCUCGCCGGCAUCUUUGUCGAGCGCGUGCCGUCGGCGCGCUUCGGUGAUGAUGAUGCCGGUGCUGCCGAUGAUUCUUGUAACAAGGUGGAGCUGGACCGGCACCGGCACCGCAUCGUGGUGUCUGACAGCGUGUUCAAGAGCCGGUGGAGCGACCUCAACUCGGCGGACCUCAUCGCGCUGGACACCGAGAUGCUGCGCUCCGUCUCCAGCGGCCGCUUCCCCUACCCGUACCCCUACCCCGACGACGACAUUAUCUUCGUGGGAGACGAGCACGACGAGGAGGAGCAACCUCGAAAGCCGGGCCGAGACGAUGACGACGGCGCCCGCAUGUCCAUUGAGAUUGAGAAGAAGCGGCUGCUGGACGUGGAGGUGGGGAGCGGCAGCAAGACAGGGCCCAGCCUGGGAGGGUGCGGCGGGUCGGAGGCGGUGGAGCCAUCGUCGGUGCGCGCGGCGUCGAGGCUGGUGUCGUCGGGCGUGCGGUCCAUGUCGGAGAUCGUGCGGCUGCCUCGGGUGGCGGUAAGGGCGACGGAGGAGGAGGAGAGGGCGCGGCAGCGGUGGGUGCCCAUCGCGCGGCGGACGGCGCGGUGGUUCGCGGCCAGGAGCAGGGAGGAGGACGUCAACGCCGCCGACCGCCUCCGCCUCCGUGUGUAA